UGGGGAAUUUUCCGCAAUGGGCGAAAGCCUGACGGAGCAACGCCGCGUGAGGGAGGAAGGCCCUUGGGUUGUAAACCUCUUUUAAUAGGGAAGAAGCUCUGACGGUACCUAUUGAAUAAGCCUCGGCUAACUCCGUGCCAGCAGCCGCGGUAAGACGGAGGAGGCAAGCGUUAUCCGGAAUUAUUGGGCGUAAAGCGUCCGUAGGUGGCAAUUCAAGUCUGCUGUUAAAGCGCAGGGCUCAACUCUGUAAGGGCAGUGGAAACUGAUAGGCUAGAGUACGGUAGGGGCAGAGGGAAUUCCCAGUGUAGCGGUGAAAUGCGUAGAUAUUGGGAAGAACACCAGUGGCGAAGGCGCUCUGCUGGGCCGUAACUGACACUGAGGGACGAAAGCGAGGGGAGCGAAAGGGAUUAGAUACCCGCGUAGUCC
rnacentral:rRNA from 1 species